rnacentral:lncRNA from 1 species
CUGGGUUUUCUGAAGAAAGGAUAAUUCCUGAGGAGAUCGCUGUGGCACUGGAUACCUGCCGGGAGGUGCUGGUGGGAACGUGUGGAGACAGAAGCU